AUUGAACGCUGGCGGAAUGCUUUACACAUGCAAGUCGAGCGGCAGCACGGGGGCAACCCUGGUGGCGAGCGGCGAACGGGUGAGUAAUACAUCGGAACAUGCCCAGUCGUGGGGGAUAACACUUCGAAAGAAGUGCUAAUACCGCAUACGUCCUGAGGGAGAAAGCGGGGGAUCUUCGGACCUCGCGCGAUUGGAGUGGCCGAUGUCAGAUUAGCUAGUUGGUGGGGGAAAGGCCUACCAAGGCAACGAUCUGUAGCUGGUCUGAGAGGAUGAUCAGCCACACUGGGACUGGGACACGGCCCAGACUCCUACGGGAGGCAGCAGUGGGGAAUUUUGGACAAUGGGGGCAACCCUGAUCCAGCCAUUCCGCGUGAGUGAAGAAGGCCUUCGGGUUGUAAAGCUCUUUCGGCAGGAACGAAACGGCGAGCUCUAACAUAGCUUGCUAAUGACGGUACCUGAAGAAGAAGCACCGGCUAACUACGUGCCAGCCGCCGCAGUAAUAC
rnacentral:rRNA from 1 species